CAUCCCACUCCAAUCCAUCCA
rnacentral:miRNA from 1 species